rnacentral:rRNA from 1 species
UACGUAGGGUGCGAGCGUUGUCCGGAAUUAUUGGGCGUAAAGAGCUCGUAGGCGGUCUGUUGCGUCGGCUGUGAAAACCCGGGGCUCAACUCCGGGCCUGCAGCCGAUACGGGCAGACUAGAGUUCGGCAGGGGAGACUGGAAUUCCUGGUGUAGCGGUGAAAUGCGCAGAUAUCAGGAGGAACACCGGUGGCGAAGGCGGGUCUCUGGGCCGAUACUGACGCUGAGGAGCGAAAGCGUGGGGAGCGAACGGG